AGUGAACGCUGGCGGUAGGCCUAACACAUGCAAGUCGAACGGCAGCACAGUAAGAGCUUGCUCUUACGGGUGGCGAGUGGCGGACGGGUGAGGAAUACAUCGGAAUCUACUUUUUCGUGGGGGAUAACGUAGGGAAACUUACGCUAAUACCGCAUACGACCUACGGGUGAAAGCAGGGGAUCUUCGGACCUUGCGCGAUUGAAUGAGCCGAUGUCGGAUUAGCUAGUUGGCGGGGUAAAGGCCCACCAAGGCGACGAUCCGUAGCUGGUCUGAGAGGAUGAUCAGCCACACUGGAACUGAGACACGGUCCAGACUCCUACGGGAGGCAGCAGUAGGGAAUAUUGGACAAUGGGCGAAAGCCUGAUCCAGCCAUACCGCGUGAGUGAAGAAGGCCUUCGGGUUGUAAAGCCCUUUUGUUGGGAAAGAAAAGCAGCAGGUUAAUACGCCGCUGUUCUGACGGUACCCAAAGAGUAAGCACCGGCUAACUUCGUG
rnacentral:rRNA from 1 species